rnacentral:misc_RNA from 1 species
GGGCCCCACCAAUGAACAAGCUAUUUGUGAUUGAUGAUGGUUUCUCUGUAUUUGCAGCAUCAGAGAUCAAUGAUAUUCUAUCAAGGAUGUGCUCUAGUCUGACCUUCAACUCAUAAGCAUCAACAACACAGUUAUUAUCACUGCCCUCAAAAUAUCCUGUAUUGAAAUUGUUCUCCUGACACAGUUUGAUGACAUCAUUUCUCAGCAUUUCAUUCCAUUGCUCCAGUUCU